rnacentral:lncRNA from 1 species
CCUUUGCACUUAAUAAAAGGAUGUCAUCUGUCUUUUCUGUGCUACUUUUCAGGCUGAGGCAAGGUGAAUAUACCUGGACAGUAGAAAAGGUCUUCUAACACAGGAGCCACUAGAAACAGUGGGGAGCAGGAUGCAGACACUGAGCUGAAUGACUCGAGCUCAGAUUUGCCUGAAUGAGCAUUUGAGGUUCCAAUUAAAUCCUUGUUUCGGCCAUUGCAUUGCCUGCCAGUAGUUAAUCUUUCUCGAAAGCCUCAUCACUUAUCUAAAACAAAAGAAGAACGAGGAGAAGCAGCUCCAUGUUCUGCAUACCAGAACUCUCUUGUUGGCUCCAUGUAGCAGCAGAAGGAGGAGAAUCUGGUCCUGAUUCCCUGUGAG